rnacentral:tRNA from 1 species
UGCGGUGGAGCUCAGUGGGAGAGCAUUUGUCUUGCAUGCACAAAGUCCUGGGUUCCAUCCCCAACACUGCAG